rnacentral:rRNA from 1 species
CACGUAGGGGGCAAGCGUUGUCCGGAUUUAUUGGGCGUAAAGAGCUCGUAGGCGGCUUGGUAAGUCGGGUGUGAAACCUCCAGGCUCAACCUGGAGACGCCACUCGAUACUGCUAUGGCUAGAGUCCGGAAGAGGAGAGUGGAAUUCCUGGUGUAGCGGUGAAAUGCGCAGAUAUCAGGAAGAACACCAAUGGCGAAAGCAGCUCUCUGGGACGGUACUGACGCUGAGACGCGAAAGCGUGGGGAGCGAACAGG